GAACAGUAGUCAUCAAAAGUCUUUCAGAAAUUAUCAACAGUGCUUCUCUGGGAAAAACUGAGUUUCCCAACAAAAUGAUCGUUCUCUUAUGGCUUGGAAGAUCUCAGGAGGAAGAGACUUUGAAUCAAGGACACCAAUCUAUGCAGCAAAACAUCCAUCCCAGGAAUAAGGAAAGAUUCUUCAACUGAAAACUACACAAGUGGAUACCCCCUGAAGGGUGAAAGUGAGGUGCAACAGAGGACUUAGUU